rnacentral:rRNA from 1 species
ACGCUCGACACCUACAGGAGGCAGCAGUGGGGAAUAUUGCACAAUGGGGGAAACCCUGAUGCAGCGACGCCGCGUGAGCGAAGAAGUAUUUCGGUAUGUAAAGCUCUAUCAGCAGGAAAGAAGAAAGACGGUACCUGACUAAGAAGCCCCGGCUAACUACGUGCCAACAGCCGCGGUAAUCUGAGCGGGCUGGCAAGGC